CGGGACUGAGACACGGCCCGAACUCCUACGGGAGGCAGCAGUGGGGAAUAUUGGACAAUGGGCGAAAGCCUGAUCCAGCCAUGCCGCGUGUGUGAAGAAGGCCCUCGGGUUGUAAAGCACUUUCAGCGAGGAAGAACGCCUAGUGGUUAAUACCCAUUAGGAAAGACAUCACUCGCAGAAGAAGCACCGGCUAACUCCGUGCCAGCAGCCGCGGUAAUACGGAGGGUGCAAGCGUUAAUCGGAAUUACUGGGCGUAAAGCGCGCGUAGGUGGCUUGAUAAGCCGGUUGUGAAAGCCCCGGGCUCAACCUGGGAACGGCAUCCGGAACUGUCAAGCUAGAGUGCAGGAGAGGAAGGUAGAAUUCCCGGUGUAGCGGUGAAAUGCGUAGAGAUCGGGAGGAAUACCAGUGGCGAAGGCGGCCUUCUGGACUGACACUGACACUGAGGUGCGAAAGCGUGGGUAGCAAACAGGAUUAGAUACCCUGGUAGUCCACGCCGUAAAC
rnacentral:rRNA from 1 species